rnacentral:lncRNA from 1 species
CAUGACUCCCAGUUCUGCUGGGCCUGUUGCUCACAGGACUCUGAGAGGAAGACGAGCUGCCCCAGCGUGAGCACAGCUGGCGAGUGCAGAGCGGGGCUUCAGCACUGUCUGCGAUCAGUGGUCUGGACACGGCCCUGUAGCAGGGUCGUGGAACAGAGCAUCUGGCCCUGGGCGAAAGAAGCAUAGUGUGGAGCAGUCAGGGAAACGGCCACUGGCAACUUGAUCUGAGCUUUGCUUGGCACAGUCGUGUGGGAUGAAGUCCUUUCUGAAAUGCACAAGGACUUGCAUUAUUCUCCGCAGCACCGUUUCUUGCACGGAGUCAGUGAAGGAGCAGAGAUGGAUUGAACUGGGUGGAGACAGAUGCCAGUUGUGGGUGAACCUCUUUGAGAAAAUUCCAGAAAACAUGUUCAAGGCAGCCAUGAGCAAGGUCCUGAAGGCACCUGAGGACCCAGCAGCUGUUUGGAACCCUGAUCUACCAGACCAACCUCUUCUCUGAAGACUUGCAGCUGCAGAGGGUGCCAACCCCAGUGCCAGGGGCUUUCCAUUGUGUGGUCUGAGGACCACUUUAUAAUUCAGGGUUUUUCAAGAAACCCGAAGAGCUUUUGUUUACGUGGGUUACAGCACGCCUUCUGUGUUUGACUCUAAAACCGACAACUUUAAAAACUAUUUAUUAAUUAAAAUAUACUAAUAAGGCCAUUGUAUAUUAACUUGUUCACAUAUUUUAUAAAAAUAACUAUAUUUUCCAAAACUAAAAAAUUAUUAAGUUAGAGUGGGAUUGUUUUACAUUUUUACACAUUUCUUUGAUGCCUGGCUUAAUAGAAGACAGCCAGAUUCUCAUCCCUGCCUGCACCCAGCAUGUCAUGUCUCACCCAUCACAGUGUCUCUGUCAAACUCCACAGGGAGAAACCAAGGAAGGAAAAGGCACUAAUGUCACAAAAAGCUAAAAACAGCUUUGGCCUCACCAAACCUUCUCAAAAGGGUCUGAGAUUCAGGGCUCCCCACACGGCACUGUGAAAACUGCCUCAGUGACCCCACUGCCUUUGCCAGUGACUGGUUGGGAGGAACACACAGCCCAGUUUUCCUAAUGAGCUUGCUAGGGGCUUUUGGGAAAUCUGUGCUUCCAAAGAAAAACGUAAGGAAGAUGUUAUCGCAUUUGUGACACCAGGAAGCACUACAGCUGUUUCCUACUGGCUUGUGGAGGAAGCCACCACAGGAGGAGGGCAAAGCCAAGGGAUGGAUGGCAGGCAAGCUGGUGCCUCCUGGGCCUGCUCUGGGCUGGCCCUUGUGUGCUGACAGCAGAACUGAGAAAGCAAGCCUGAAUAUGUGUCCGCAAUCUCCCUGCCCUGAAAUGAGACACAAGUGCAGGGGAUGUGGCAGCCAGGACUGAAGACCCUGCUCUCCUGACUGGGGAGCUGAUAACAGAACUAAAUGGUCCAGCUGUUUCCAGUGAUGCCCAUUGAGACCCCAGCGUGAGGGGAAAUGCUGAAAAACUCAGGAUGUUGAGGAUAAAUAUGUUAUUCUGUUGUGGUCUUCAGUAAAGUUCUACAAGAAAGAGACAAGCUUAUGCCCUUUGGAAAUGUGACAGGACAGGAAUCAUCUCAUAGCCCGAGGAGCCAGGUGUCUUCCCUUAAGCACCAGACAGACUGCACCAAAGCAUGCUCUCUGCUACUCGGACUGCCUCUGGGCAGAGGUCUGUAAUCCGGGCCAGGGAGAGGCUCAGAGAACAAAGGCUGCUGAUCAGGAGCCUCAAAGGCAUCCCCAGGCCAACAUUUGUCCUGUGUUUAGCAAGAACUGAGCAGGCACAAAUUGAUGGAAGUCUGCUAAAUUUUAAGGGACUAUAUUACCCAAGAAAUCAUAUUUUUGGUGAAAAAGUGUGAUGAUAUUUUAAUCCAUAAGGCAGUCCCCAUUCCACUGAAUCUGUGAUUGCUGAAGCUGUACACGUUGGUCAUUGCCUGUCUUGGAUGUGAUCAUUAAAAACUCAUUUUUUCCUGCCAAAUAUCUUAGUUCAGAUUAUUGUCACAAAUCACUGUAACUGGGAGGAUUACACAGUGAUCUCCAACCUUUUUG